CUCCAAUUUGGCCUCUUUCAGUUCUUCAACACAAUGAGUUUUUUGAGACCGUCUGUAUUGUAUCAGUUCCUUCUAACUUCCAUUACUCUAAAAUGGAUGCCCUGCCAGAGCUGGGGUUUUCUUCGAUGGCCUGGUUUUGAUGGCUUCUUGAGGCUUCUGGUUUUGCUGCUUUUAUGGUCUAUGUGUUCCGAGAUUCGCUUCAUUCCAUCCUCUUCCAUGUACCCCACUCUUCGCGUUGGUGAUCGGGUCCUUGUUGAGAAGGCUUCAUACUACAUCCGAUCUCCUGCUAUAAAUGAUAUUGUCAUAUUCCGAGCUCCAAAACAGCCUGGAACCAAUGAGGAAGUUGUUUUUAUUAAGAGAAUUGUUGCAAAAGCUGGAGAUUAUGUUCAGGUUCAUCGUGGAUCACUGUAUGUCAAUGGAAAAGCUCAGACUGAAGACUUCAUAGCAGCACGACCAACAUACACAACAGAGUUAAUUUAUGUGCCUAAAGAUCAUAUUUAUGUCUUGGGAGACAACCGCAAUAACAGCUACGAUUCGCAUGACUGGGGACCCCUUCCUGUAAAGAACAUCAUCGGAAGAUUUGUCACGUGUUGGCACAGGCCUUCAAGAAGCUGACCCCAUGAUCAUAUGGGUUAGAUACACCGGAAAUCUCCCACGUCUUGAUAGAUAUCAUCGCCAUAUUUCUGUGUCCCCAGCAUAAUUAGUCAUUGAUUGAUUGUUUCUUUGUUUAGUCAUUCGUUGGUGCCAAUAUGCAUGCUUGUAAACUGUGAGUUGAGUUGCAGAGAAU
rnacentral:misc_RNA from 1 species